UCAUGAUGGAAUCGAUCCACCACAGAUCAUCCUUUUUCCACCAGAGAAAAUUUGUAUGGACUGGGAGAAAACAAAAAACGUUGGAGUUGGACUGCUCAAUCUUGGCAAUACCUGUUUCCUCAAUGCUGCUCUACAAUGCCUGACGUACACGCCUCCCCUUGCCAAUUACAUGCUCUCUUUUGAGCACUCCCAAUCAUGUGUUGCCAACAGCUUCUGUAUGAUGUGUGUGAUGGAAAGUCACGUUGCUCAGGCCCUCUGUUUCUCAAAUGGUCCCAUCAAACCUGCAUGUAUUAUCAAUAGCCUUAAAAGAAUUGGAGGAAAUUUCCAUUUUGGACGUCAGGAGGAUGCUCACGAAUUCUUAAGUUUUACCCUUGAGGCUUUGCAGAAUUCUUGCUUAAAUGGAAACACUGAACUGGACAGAUCCUCUCAAGCCACCACUUUUAUCCAUCAAAUAUUUGGAGGUUAUCUGAGAUCCCGAGGUAGUUUUUCAAAAUCUUCUUGUCCUUCCAACUGUUCUGUGGGUUUUUCAUCUGCCUGUGGUAAAGGAGUUUGUAGUUUGACUGGAGUAACAUGGAUUAAUAAUUGAAAUCUGUACAGCUAGUCUCCUUCACAUAGUGAUAAGCAUUUGUAUGUUGAUUCCAGUGAAGUGCAUGAACUGCAAAGCCGUGUCAGAUACGUAUGAGACAUUUUUUGAUAUUUCUUUGAACGUAAAGGUAAGCUGCUGUGUUAGAACAAAGACCUUGGUGGUGAAUGGGAAUGGAUUGGACUUCAUUCUUCAGUGGAAAUCA